UCAGCGUCGUUUCCGGAGGUGGGACCGUC
rnacentral:sRNA from 1 species